rnacentral:rRNA from 1 species
GAUGAACGCUAGCGAUAGGCUUAACACAUGCAAGUCGAGGGGCAGCAUGGUCUUAGCUUGCUAAGACUGAUGGCGACCGGCGCACGGGUGCGUAACGCGUAUGCAACUUGCCUCACAGAGGGGGAUAACCCGUCGAAAGACGGACUAAUACCGCGUACACUUGGGAUAGGGCAUCCUGACCCAAGGAAAUGAAAUUCGCUGUGAGAUAGGCAUGCGUCCCAUUAGCUAGUUGGUGGGGUAACGGCUCACCAAGGCGACGAUGGGUAGGGGAACUGAGAGGUUGAACCCCCACACUGGUACUGAGACACGGACCAGACUCCUACGGGAGGCAGCAGUGAGGAAUAUUGGUCAAUGGGCGAGAGCCUGAACCAGCCAAGUCGCGUGAAGGAUGACUGUCUUAUGGAUUGUAAACUUCUUUUAUACGGGAAUAACAAGAGCCACGUGUGGCUCCCUGCAUGUACCGUAUGAAUAAGCAUCGGCUAACUCCGUG